rnacentral:misc_RNA from 1 species
GCAAACUUGGUCAUUUAGAGGAAGUAAAAGUCGUAACAAGGUUUCCGUAGGUGAACCUGCGGAAGGAUCAUUACUGAAGAAAUGAUAGGGUUUGAGCUGGCUCUGCGGAGUAUGUGCUUGCACUAUCGCUUUUUCUAUUCUCCCUUGUGAACCCUUUGUAGACUUUUUUAUGAUAUUGACUUCUCUAUUAGUUUAGAAGGUCACUUGACACUCGCAUCUCUGAUGCUUGAUUCUACUCUUAUCAUAUUAGUCUAUGAUUUUUUUACAUAUCUACUCUUCAGUUGAUGAAUGUCUCUUUUUGUUGGUUUUGAAUACCAAUAAAUUUGUUUGUACAACUUUCAGCAACGGAUCUCUUGGCUCUCGCAUCGAUGAAGAACGCAGC